rnacentral:precursor_RNA from 10 species
CUCCCGCAAUGAGAGAUGCUUCACCUGCGGAGCCUGCUGGGAGCGAAAUUGAGAAAGGACAGCGCCAGCCCAGGCAAUUUCACUCACAGCGGGCACUUGCAGGUGAAGCAUGGCCAUAAAAUGCAGC